UGGGGAAUAUUGCACAAUGGGCGCAAGCCUGAUGCAGCCAUGCCGCGUGUGCGAAGAAGGCCUUCGGGUUGUAAAGCACUUUCAGCGGGGAGGAAGGCGGUGAGGUUAAUAACCUCAUCGAUUGACGUUACCCGCAGAAGAAGCACCGGCUAACUCCGUGCCAGCAGCCGCGGUAAUACGGAGGGUGCAAGCGUUAAUCGGAAUUACUGGGCGUAAAGCGCACGCAGGCGGUCUGUCAAGUCGGAUGUGAAAUCCCCGGGCUCAACCUGGGAACUGCAUUCGAAACUGGCAGGCUAGAGUAUUGUAGAGGGGGGUAGAAUUCCAGGUGUAGCGGUGAAAUGCGUAGAGAUCUGGAGGAAUACCGGUGGCGAAGGCGGCCCCCUGGACAAAGACUGACGCUCAGGUGCGAAAGCGUGGGGAGCAAACAGG
rnacentral:rRNA from 1 species